GGCGAACGGGUGAGUAACACGUGAGCAACCUGCCCUAGGCUUUGGGAUAACCCCGGGAAACCGGGGCUAAUACCGAAUAUGACCUUUGACCGCAUGGUCUUUGGUGGAAAGUUUUUCGGCCUGGGAUGGGCUCGCGGCCUAUCAGCUUGUUGGUGGGGUGAUGGCCUACCAAGGCGACGACGGGUAGCCGGCCUGAGAGGGCGACCGGCCACACUGGGACUGAGACACGGCCCAGACUCCUACGGGAGGCAGCAGUGGGGAAUAUUGCACAAUGGGCGGAAGCCUGAUGCAGCGACGCCGCGUGAGGGAUGACGGCCUUCGGGUUGUAAACCUCUUUCAGCAGGGACGAAGCGUAAGUGACGGUACCUGCAGAAGAAGCGCCGGCCAACUACGUGCCAGCAGCCGCGGUAAGACGUAGGGCGCGAGCGUUGUCCGGAUUUAUUGGGCGUAAAGAGCUCGUAGGCGGCUUGUCGCGUCGACUGUGAAAACCCGCAGCUCAACUGCGGGCCUGCAGUCGAUACGGGCAGGCUAGAGUUCGGUAGGGGAGACUGGAAUUCCUGGUGUAGCGGUGAAAUGCGCAGAUAUCAGGAGGAACACCGGUGGCGAAGGCGGGUCUCUGGGCCGAUACUGACGCUGAGGAGCGAAAGCGUGGGGAGCGAACAGGAUUAGAUACCCUGGUA
rnacentral:rRNA from 1 species